rnacentral:rRNA from 1 species
AGAUAAUAGAUACCCUGGUAGUCCACGCUGUAAACGAUGGGUACUAGAUUUGGUGGGUCUUGACCCCGCCGAAAUCGGCGCUAAACGCACUAAGUACCCCGCCUGGGAAGUACGGUCGCAAGACUAAAACUCAAAGGAAUUGACGGGGGCCCGCACAAGCGGUGGAUCAUGUGGUUUAAUUCGAAAGCAACGCGAAAAACCUUACCUGGGUUUGACAUCCCCUGACAGCUGUAGAGAUACAGUCUUGGUAGCAAUACCACAGGGAGACAGGUGCUGCAUGGCUGUCGUCAGCUCGUGUGGUGACAUGUUGGGUUAAGUCCCGCAACGAGCGCAACCCUUGUCCUUAGUUGCCAGCAUUUAGUUGGGCUCUCUAGGGAGACUGCCGUGGUUAACACGGAGGAAGGUGGGGAUGACGUCAAGUCCUCAUGGCCUUUAUAUCCAGGGCGACACACGUGAUACAAUGGACGGUACAAAGGGAUGCCAAGUGGUAACACGGAGCUAAUCUCAAAAAGCCGUUCUCAGUUCGGAUUGGAGUCUGCAACUCGAC